UACGAAGGGGGCUAGCGUUGCUCGGAAUCACUGGGCGUAAAGCGCACGUAGGCGGAUUGCUAAGUCAGGGGUGAAAUCCUGGAGCUCAACUCCAGAACUGCCUUUGAUACUGGCGAUCUCGAGUUCGGGAGAGGUGAGUGGAACUGCGAGUGUAGAGGUAAAAUUCGUAGAUAUUCGCAAGAACACCAGUGGCGAAGGCGGCUCACUGGCCCGAUACUGACGCUGAGGUGCGAAAGCGUGGGGAGCAAACAGG
rnacentral:rRNA from 1 species